rnacentral:lncRNA from 1 species
CUCUGGCUCUACCCUUGAAUAGGGUUUAAGAAACAUACUAUGAACAUUCUUUUCAUUUUCGAAAAGGUUUAGCGGAAUUCUAUCCUCAAACCGUCAUAACUUACGGGCACGGAGGGUGAUCAGCCCCGUUGUACCCUGUAUUGAUCAAUACUACAUAACUUGAACAAAAUUCAUCUCUCACUCUAUCCGCCUUGCGCAAAAAUCUUCUCAUAUAGGGAUGUUCAUACAUACCUGGUUCCAAACCCGAAGGUUUUUAAUCUUGCUCAACAAUAAUAUGUAAUUCAACAUAUAUAUACGGGUAAUUGACAAAGGUGUAUCAACAUGUGAACAAAUGCCAUGAUUAUCCAAGUGGGGACACUUGGAUAACCAUUUAUAGAAAUCAAUGAACAAAAUAUAUAUCUGAGCUAACAUGUCGAUAAUCAAAGAGUACAUAAUCUAUACAAGGAUAGAAUAAUUCUGAAACUUCUUACUCAUGUCCAUUGCAUAAAGGAAGUGCAAAGGUAGGAUACUUGCCUGAUUUGCUGAUUACAAAUCUCAACUUAGGUUUUAUCUCUUUAUCACAACCUAUCAAUAAUCAGAUCAUUCAUUUGAUUAGAACAAUAUAUCUUAACACAUAGUACUAUCUAUUACAGUCAGCACAUAGUCUAAUCACAUAAUCAUAGUGAUCAUACUUUUAGUUCCU